rnacentral:rRNA from 1 species
ACUCUUACGGGAGGCAGCAGUGGGGAAUUUUGCACAAUGGGGGAAACCCUGAUGCAGCAACGCCGCUAAAACGAUGAAGUCCUUCGGGUUGUAAACCUCUUUCGACCGGGACGAUAAUGACGUAC